AAGACAGGACUCCCUGAGGUGGUGACUAAGGCUCUAAGGAAAUGAUACCUGGGCUGAAACCGGGGGGUGAAGAGUGAUUCCAAUUAUUCAAACAUCCCAGGUCAACUCAGGAUUUAAAGUGACUCUUAAAUUAAGACUUACAAGAGUAUAGCAGGGUUAUUUAUUACAGCCAAAAAUCCAAAAGCGAUUCAGGGACCCAUCAACAGGAAAAUGGAUAAACGAACAAAAAGGCAUAUUUCUGCAAUGAAAGACUACACAAUUGAGAAAAAAUUAUAUGCAACAUUGAUGAAUAUCUAAAACAUGAGAACUCCCAGAAAAAGGGGACGGUUGGAGACUGCAGCUGAAACCCAUCCCGGUGCGCCGGCUCAGCCCGGAGACCACGCCAUCUUGAGUGGCUGUUACCGGAAUCCAGAGAUCGGCUACUAACCUGGAAACAAGGGAUCUCUGAAAGGGCAAGGGUUACGCCCUCCAUCUUGCCCCAAUCCUCCACUUUGGGGCAGAGCCCUGUGCUCCACAAGGCUUCUUCCCAGAAGCCCAAGCCUCUGCUGGCCACACCAAACUACAAUAGAUAUGACCACAUCCUGUGUAAGAAGACACCAACUUACUCCUGGCCAAUCGGCAGGGCCCACAGUCCCCUCCCCUCUCCUUACUCCACACCCCCCCUAUAAAAUCCUCUUCCGGGCUAGCCCUCUCUCUGCCACCUGCUGCUGUGUCAGUAAGGAGGGUAGGGGAGCCAGCCCCAGGUUUGUAAUAAUAAAGACUCUGCUUUUGCAUCGGACUCGGCUGGAUCCUGAAAUCUGGGCAUAACAAUCUCAAGCAGCGCGACUGACUGCGGGAACUCAGACGAGCACUGCUUCUCACGAAAGGAAAUAACCCAAUGAGCAUAACAGCAGGAGUAAUAACAACAGAUCAGCAGCCACCAAACUUGAUUUCAGAAUCAGCUCUUCCAACUUCCCUUGGGGCCACAAACCCAACGAUGAACGGCUCAAAUUCUGGAAACAUUGGGACCCUCAGCACUAGACCAGCAGCAGCACCUACUUCCAGUACUGGCGUUCAGAAAGUCUGGCAUGAAGAUGUCACCCAGGACCUGCGGAGCCACCUAGUGCAUAAAUUCAUCCAAGCCAUCUUCCCAACACCUGACCCUGCAGCCCUGGAGGAUCCCCGCAUGGAGAACAUAGUGGCCUACGCUAAGAGAGUAGAAGGAGACAUGUAUGAGUCUGCCAACAGCCGGGCUGAAUACUAUAGCUUAUUAGCAGAGAGAAUCUAUGAGAUACAAAGAGAACGAGAGGAAAGAAGGAGGUCGCGUUUACACAGACAAGGCAUCUUGGGUAACCAGCCAGCCUUUCCAGCCCCCGGGGCGUAGCCUCCUGGGAUGCACCACAGUCACACCUGUGAGACCUCCAGGGACAGGUGCCUGGUGCUGCUCUUCCUAACCCUCUGAACAUGCUUGGGUCCCAGCUGCCUUGUCCACCAGUGACACAAUCUCCUUUGCACCAGACACCACCUCCUGCUUCCACAGCCCCUGGCCUGCCACCUCUACAGCAUCCAACAGCACCUGUGAUGACUCCUCCCCAGCCAGCAGCUCCCACUCAGCCAUCGACUCCUGUGUCGUCUUCCGGGCAGACUCCUACCCCAACUCCUGGCUCCAUAUCUUAGUUCUUAUAAAUAAUUCUGCAGGGAACAUACAGGGGCAUAUACUUUUUAGAAUUAGUGUUUAUAAUUUCUUCAAAUAAAUACCCAGAAGUGGAAUUGCUGGAUCGGA